rnacentral:rRNA from 1 species
GACGAACGCUGGCGGCGUGCCUAACACAUGCAAGUCGAGCGGAGUCGAUCGACGGAAGCCUUCGGGCGGAAGAUGGUUGACUUAGCGGCGGAUGGGUGAGUAACGCGUGGGCAACCUGCCUCGAAGACCGGGAUAACAGCCCGAAAGGGCUGCUAAUACCGGAUGUGGUCAAGGAUCCGCAUGGAUUUUUGAUUAAAGGGGAAACCCGUUUCGAGAUGGGCCCGCGUCCUAUCAGCUAGUUGGUGAGGUAAAAGCUCACCAAGGCGACGACGGGUAGCCGGCCUGAGAGGGUGACCGGCCACACUGGAACUGAGACACGGUCCAGACUCCUACGGGGGGCAGCAGUGGGGAAUCUUCCACAAUGGGCGAAAGCCUGAUGGAGCGACGCCGCGUGAGCGAAGAAGGCCUUCGGGUUGUAAGCUCUGUCUGGAGGGACGAAGGAAGUGACGGUACCUCCGGAGGAAGCCACGGCUAACUACGUG